rnacentral:rRNA from 1 species
GAGUUUGAUCCUGGCUCAGGAUGAACGCUGGCGGCGUGCCUAAUACAUGCAAGUCGAGCGAACAGAUAAGGAGCUUGCUCCUUUGACGUUAGCGGCGGACGGGUGAGUAACACGUGGGUAACCUACCUAUAAGACUGGAAUAACUCCGGGAAACCGGGGCUAAUGCCGGAUAAUAUUUAGAACCGCAUGGUUCUAAAGUGAAAGAUGGUUUUGCUAUCACUUAUAGAUGGACCCGCGCCGUAUUAGCUAGUUGGUGGGGUAAUGGCUUACCAAGGCAACGACACGUAGCCGACCUGAGAGGGUGAUCGGCCACACUGGAACUGAGACACGGUCCAGACUCCUACGGGAGGCAGCAGUAGGGAAUCUUCCGCAAUGGGCGAAAGCCUGACGGAGCAACGCCGCGUGAGUGAUGAAGGUCUUCGGAUCGUAAAACUCUGUUAUUAGGGAAGAACAAAUGUGUAAGUAACUGUGCACGUCUUGACGGUACCUAAUCAGAAAGCCACGGCUAACUACGUGCCAGCAGCCG